UCAACUGUCUGGGUGAGAGAUGAAAUGAUAAUACUGGUUAAUGUUUGAUCAUGAAUGCUAAACCAACGUUCAACUUGAAGCAGUCAGUUGGGAUAAUGUACAUCGUACAUGUACAACAUACCCACAGACUGAUUCAUUCAUAGAUCAACAAAUUGAUUAAUUGCUGGAAGGAUUAAAUUAUCGAUGUACAAAUUGACCGACCAACUAAAUGCACAAACAGAAACCAGGCACUUUUUAAUUUGAGAAAUGGCAACACACUUUCCAAUCCCUGAAGUCGCUUAAAAGUUUUGCAAAUAUCAUUUGUUAGCUCAGAAACAUUUACCGAAAUAUUGUUUUAGUCUUAACUCUACAUAUUUUUAAAAAGUCUGUUAUUCUUGUCUCAAUCCAAGGAAUUUUUUAAAGCGAGCAACAAGGUAACUUUUACUUUCUUUUCGUAAUAGAAUAUUGCACACUGAAUCAAAAAGUACCAGUACAUUUGUGUCGCAAAAAAAAAAAAGCUUUCAAGGUAAUUUUACCUGAUUUACCCAAAGCCCCCAAGAAACCCAGUGCACAUGAAUAUACAAUGUAUGUUCAUAGAGGUCAUCAAUUCUAGGAAUGUUGUCCUACCUUCAUGUGACUGAAUUUCAGGGAUGUACAUGUACUAACCCAGGCCAUUCAGUCAAGCAUAGGCUACCCUGCUUUAAUAUGCCUCAAUGCUGAGCGACAAUCUGGGUCGCUCCCUAGUGUUUGUGCUCCUGAGUGUAAACCAAUCAGAUUGUCUGGCCACAGUGAAGCACAGUCUACCACAGGAAUGAUGAAGUUUAAAAAUAGAAAUAGGAAAAAAAGGUCCACGACACAAAUAUUUUACAAAGGAUGGGAAGGUAUCUCGGAGGCAUGCGGAGGGAUUUGUACGUGUUGAUCUGGGGCUGGUAGGCGUGCGAGGCUUGAUUGAAUGAGUGUGGCUUAUCAGUGUCUUCUUUGGAGGCAGUCUGGCAUCUCACGGAAAAUUUGUGCAUCUUCCAGCGUGCCGGGGGGAGCACGCACAUGAACUUGUCUGGCCAGGACUUACAGGUGUAUGCGUGACAAUGAUGUGAAAUUCACACCCUAUACGAACAGUUCUGGGUUGCCAGUGUUUGCUUGUAUGUGUGUGGAAGACAGACGAGAGAUGAACUGCAGUUUAUGAAACCUGAAGUUGUUUGUAAGCACUGAGAAAAAAAGGUAAUACAACUGCAACCAUUGGAAGGAAACUGGGGCUCUCCAUUUACGUAACGGAUUUAAAUGAGACGGGUCUGGUAACCACAUUCUCAUUCAGGCCAAAACACAAGCCAUCAGUUCACCAUGGGCGAUUCCAGACUAGCCACCAAGGUCCUGUUGGCGACUAUUAUUGUUCUUUUCACCAUUGCAGCAACGGGCAUGUCUAAGCUCUCGGCCCUGACCAUGGUCGUGAUAGCCUGCCUGGUCUUCUCCACCACACUGAUCGCCAUGAUGUUUGACAAAGCCAUCCUGCACUUUGCCACGGGGAAAGGAACAAACCAGGCUGACAAAGAGACUAGCACAGCCACGACUGCCAAGACGGAAUGAUGUUGGCAGGCAGGAAAUCAUGAGGCAAACUGCAUGCCUGAUCUCCUCUUCAUCUCAACUGUUCUUCCCCGUUUGACCGGUGAAAGUCGGGCUGUGUGGUUGUCUGGCAAUGAUGCCAAGGACUGAAGACAAACCCCAGUUAAAAAAAAAAACUUCAUUAAUGAUCUGGUUAGAUAGAAUAACAACCAGAUACAAACCUAUGGCCCCAAAACUGUCAAUGAUGUCUCGUUCUUAGAAACCAUCCAGUGUAUGAUGAAUAUCAUGGGUCAUGAUGUUCCACUUGUAGUGGUGAAACUACAAAAUGUACAAGGUCAUGUAUAGCACAAUGAACACAUACACUGUACAUGUACCGUUCCAUGUACAGUGUAAUGUUAGAAAUCACUCAAUGAUCUAGCAUCCGCAGCUGUUUGGACUUUAUGAAGGUAUCUGCAGACUCACACGGAACAUUAUACAAUCAGAUUAUCGAAUAUCCCAAACGAAUGCAAGGUUGGACAUGCAACCAAGUCAGACUGAGUGAAAUUGUCUCUAACACACCAUGUCCUAUGCUUGAUAGACAUCAGACAACAAAAUGACAUGUCUGAAUCACACUUAUUACACAUUAAGGGGUCAAAUGUGGAAAAAAAGUAGAGUUUCAAGUCCACAAUCAAAACGGUGUUCUUAGUGCAGGAGUUUGUUUCUAUCGAAAGUGGACUGAUGGGAUGGCAUGCCACACGUACAUGUAUUUCUCAAAUUUGAAAAACCAGCCUGCCACUAUUGCAUUGCAUGGACAAGUCAGUCACACUUUCUACUGAUCAUCCGCACUGGUUCAAAUACUUUUAAACAACUGUUGGGAACUUGGGCUUGCUUUUCAAGGCUACGGUAUUUGGUACAUGUACAUGUAUGAAAUGUACCUGACAAAGUAUGGAGGGCCACAUCUCUCAGUGAAAAGAAAGGAAACAAAAACAAUCUGACAUAGGCAGAUAUUUGUGAGGCUACUCAACAACAUGAGAAGUUGUGAAAGUAAGUUCUGACUCGAUAGCCUUGGCACAUAUGCUACUCAGAGUAAACCAAAUUGGAAAUGUCAAGUUUUUGCCAACAUUAUUUCCACAUCCAUCUGAAUGUCACACAUGGGUAAUACCCACAAAGUAUGUUUUUUAAUGUGUACAAAAAAUUCGGACUCAUUUUGUUGGAUCAAUUGAUAUUUUAAACACGACUGACAUCUAUCUGGUAUAAUGUACUGGGUUACUGGUUCAGUUUACAAACAUGAAAUCUCUCUUGCUUUGAACCCAAUGAGGAGAAAUAAAAUGGCAUGUCACAUACAUGACAUCACUGAUUCCAAUAUGCUACACAUUACAUGCGGAUGUGCUUGUGGACACAGCAAGCGUGCAUGGUACAUGUCAUUCAUGAUACAGAGUUGAACGUGAGCCCCUUAAGUUGGAAUGCCCGCCUCCAGCUUGGGAGACAACCUCUGCAUGCCUGGGAUGAACUCUGCUGGAAUCUUCUAGUCUGAUGAUCCCCCCAAAAAACCAACCGAUGUAAAAGAGGGCCACCGCCGAUAGUGGGCGAGGAAAUGCGCACAUGCCUGCAUCUUCAUUGGCAUCUGAGCCCAGGCACAGGCCGGCAAUCGCUGCUGUGAUGAUGUGUACAUGUCAGACAUUCGAGGAGCCCUGGACAAAUACACCAAAGGCAAUCUGAGGCCUGCAAUGUCUGGACGGCCGUCUUUCUCUUCAAUUGAAAUUGUUGCCAAGUACUAAAGCCUUCUGAUUCGCAGAAAUCUGUGAGGUUUAAUUGAGUUCAAUAGGUACCAGACAGAGUUUUGCUUUUAUGGAAGAACUGUGUCUCAACCUUUGUUUAAUUCCACCAAAAAACCCACAACCUGAACUGCUUGGCACACAUUAUAAAAAGAUGAAGUGUCUCUUUUUCAAGGGUUAACUCUACACACUGGUACCAGCAUGUCAUUUCAUACUUCUGUUCUCUAGAAUCAGAUUUUAGAAAUCCGUCGUUCCAUCAGUUACAAGUAUCGGUAUGUCAGUGCUUUUACGUCUGUCCACGAUGAUUUGUGUGACUUUGUGAUAUUUUUGUUCUGGAAACAAACAUUGUUACAGGUAAGAGUGACUGUAAUUUUUCGUCACGUAAAAUUGUUUAGAAAUUCAUGUAGUCUGACAUUUUCAUAACGAAAUUACACGUGAGCUUAAGAAAAGUUCUUGUUUGUUCUUAAUGUUGAGUACGAAGAAGUAAAAGGAGAUAGAAACAGGGAUAAGCAAAAUGUAAUGAGUUUUUUAAAAAUCUUUAGCUGGAAAACAUGCAAAAGACAGUUUGUAGGAAACUUUGCUUGUAAAGUGGCUUUAAUACAGUUCUUCCCACCACGCACUGCUAAUUUGCAUAAUCCUUGAUCUGAAGUUUAAUAACUCCUAAACUUUCUUAGAGCACGAUAAACAUGUAAGUGCACAUGCAGCAUUAGAUAUGGCAACAUUGCGAGGGUUGAACAGGUUCCAGAGCUGCAUUGCAAGGAAAUACCGGUAGAAAAUGUAGUCAAGCAAAUUUCCCAUCUGUGCAAAAAUAACAAAUCAGCUAAAACCAAUAUCUGUUGUGUAUGUCCAUGCUGGAAAAGCCCCCAGACUGAAUGGCCUAUGGUUCAUUCAGGUUUCUGAAAACAGACUGUCUCCAGCCUUUAUCACAGGUGGAAUCAAGUCAGUCAAGAGCCAAUUCCAAGUCAGUUCACAAAGAUAGUAUUAACGAGUCGGUUCACAAAUCAGGUUAGAAUUGAGUCAUAUGAACAACGAAACAGGAAUACCCUUAAUUCAAAUACAUGUAGCUUGUGAACUGACUUCAGACUCAAUGACUAGUGACUGACUUGUGACUGGCUUGUGACUGACUCAACUACAACUUUGGCCUUUAUCUUCUACGGUACAUAUUGGGUAAUCAAUACACCAAGCAUUCUCAAUAUCGGGUUUCCUGAUUUAUCAAUUUUCUGAAAAAAUCCAAUAUUCAUGGACCUGAGCGUGAGCAAAUUCGCAAAGUCCGGCAAGGCCUUCACCUGUGAACGUGCACUGUACCAUGCAGGUGUACAUAUUCCUCAGCAGGUACCAUGUACAUGGCACUACCUGAAACCAGUCCGAAACAGAGAAACCAACUGCCAUGGAUACACAUACAUGAGUAUGUUUAUUUUCACCUGUCACCACGUCACUGCACAGACUUCCGAAGAAGUGAAGGGCUACAAUGUAUAACUGAUGUAACGUAUGACGUCUAAACCUAGUUUUGCUGUGCCCCAGACCUGCUGACAUUCAUGUACAUUUUUUUAACCUCAAGUUUCCAAAUAGGAAAAUAUACAAGUACAGAGUGACGUCAAUGUUUUACCUGCCCAUAUGUCAAGCGACACACAACGUUGUAGAAUAUUUCUUCCCAACCCCUGCUAUGGACUUAAGCAUCAUAUCACCAUAAUGCACAUGAUUUUUAGUUAAUAAUCAACGACAGUUUUUUUUACCAAUACAUUGUACAUGCACGACUGACUUGGUCGAUUUGGCCAAUUUCAAUGGCCAAAAAGGAAAAAAAACUCCUUUUAAAUUCACUGUUGAUGCUGUGAGUUCAUUUGUGUAAUGAAUAGGGAAACUGUACAUGUAUGUACUCAAAGUAAUAAACCUAUCUAAUUACACAGUAAUUAAAUAUAUACAUGUACACUGUACAUUUGCACAUGUAUGUACAUAAUGUAUCAUGUGUUGAAAUUGUAUCAGUUUUAGGGCAAAGCAGGCUAAAGAAUGAUGUCCUCUGUGACUGUAACUCACACUUUAAUGUACAAAUGUAAGCUUUACUUGUGCAAAAAGUGAAACUGGCUUUUAGCUGGAUGUUUUUAACCAAAUCACUUUUUACCCCGACUUUUUUAAAGCAUAUAAUUGUACAGUGAGGAGUUUUACACUUGCCUGGCUCAAACGAUAAUGCAGUUGCUUCGGAAGGGUUUGCCAACGUAUAGUUAGACAGGCAAAAUUUGAGACUAGUGCAGUUGCAACGUGUUGAAUGUUUAGUUUUGAGCAACUUAUGUAAUAAAACCGUUUGCAUCGAUAUUUUUUAAUGAAUGAAAAAUACCAUUAGAAACUGCUACAGAAUAUCAAUACUGAAAUGCCUACUGCCUACAGUAGGCAACUGUUUAAGUACAACAAUAGUUUAUUUCACGUUGUGUGUGUGGACUAAAUGUACAUGAAUGUCAAAGUUUUGAAUACAAUUGUACAAGAAAGUGAAAAAGGAAGUUUUACAUAAAAAAAAGUUGACUAAAUGUACAGUAACUUGUAAGACUUUUAAGCUUCAGGUAGCUUGGAAAAUAAAGCACCACUGUGCAAAGCUGAAACUCCAAUAAAAUAUUUUCAGUGGUUCAAAUGUAA